GGGAAGCGGCGCUAAUGCCGAGAACCGACGGUUUCAGCUCGACAAGCUGGGGGUCACUGGUUCGAGCCCAGUACCGCCCA
rnacentral:tRNA from 1 species